rnacentral:rRNA from 1 species
UGGGGAAUAUUGGACAAUGGGGGAGACCCUGAUCCAGCAAUGCCGCGUGAGUGAAGAAGGCCUUCGGGUUGUAAAACUCUUUCAGUGGGGAAGAUAAUGACGGUACCCACAGAAGAAGCACCGGCUAACUUCGUGCCAGCAGCCGCGGUAAUACGAAGGGUGCUAGCGUUGUUCGGAAUUACUGGGCGUAAAGGGCGCGUAGGCGGUCUAUUAAGUCAGAUGUGAAAUCCCUGGGCUCAACCUAGGAAUGGCAUUUGAUACUGGUAGGCUAGAGUUCAAGAGAGGAAAGCGGAAUUCCUAGUGUAGAGGUGAAAUUCGUAGAUAUUAGGAGGAACACCGGUGGCGAAGGCGGCUUUCUGGAGUGAUACUGACGCUGAGGCGCGAAAGCGUGGGGAGCAAACAGG